rnacentral:misc_RNA from 1 species
AGUCAAAGUGUGUCAAGUGUCAGUUACAACUGAAAAAUGAUAAUACUUAUAGUCAAAGUGUGUCAAGAGUCAGUUACACAUAAUUAUUUUACAGAUUGUUCUUGUCGAUGAAAUGUUACUUUUUAAUUCUUUGAGAUAGAGCUUCCUUAUUUUAUAAGUACAUGAAAGUCUUAUUGUUUAUGACCUUUAAAAAAAUGUCCUUAUAAAGCACUGGUUUGACUGAUAUACCAGUCUAUAUGUUUUUGUGGAUUUUAUUGUUGUCCUUGAAUUUGUUUACAAAUUUAAUUGUUCAUUAUAUUUCAGAAGAUGUGUUCCUACAGUUAUUUACAUGUACUAGGUAUAUGCUACAGACCAUUUUCCUCAAUUUUUUACGUAUCAUUGAAACAGUGAAUCUAACUUAAUCCACAAAUUGAACCCCCAGUAUCACUUAUUAAAGUAUUUU